rnacentral:lncRNA from 12 species
CCUAGAAAAACACGCUCCAAUCGAGCAUUUCUAUUUAACUCUUCAUAUCAGCUGGAUAGACAAUGCUGUCGCAUUUAUUUUGAUAAAAAUACUGUUUUGUAAUUAAACAAGAAUAAAUGUCUAGACCUGUGAGCUGAGCUGUUAAAGUGGGUAUCAAUUUUUAACCUGCUUGACAGAGGUCUCUUUGACAUUGUUGUUGAAAACCGACCUCUGUCCUUUGGAGAGAAACUAUAACACCAAGACAGAGUUUGGGAUAAAGAGCUUUAUUGGGAUAAAUAGCUUUAUUGUUUUGCUGGGUAAAGGAGGCGGCAAUAGGCUAUGACCCUCAAAAAACUGCAUGCUCUUCCAGAGGAAAGGACUGAGAGGUUUUAUAGGGAAAUACAGGAUCUAGCCAGUUUCAACAGGAAUCAUGUACAUGUACAAUGCCUCCUCAGGAUUUUUCAGGUUCCUACUGGGUUCCUGAAAAAAAUAGGCUAAGAAGGGAGGAAGGGAGGUUUGCGGAAGAGAGGAGAAAGUUUACUUUAAAAUUGAACUUUGCUGAAGCAUUAGUGAGCCAUUUUGAUUUUUGUUCAACUUUAUGUUUUUAAGCGGUUUUAAUAUGGUCACAGAAAAUGUUCUUCCUCACGAACCCUGGCACUGCAGGACGGGAGCAGAGCUGAUGAGGAAAGAACAGCUCCAGCCCUCUCCCUACCCCUCCAAACUCUACAGGAAUUUUCCCUUCCUGAUAAUCCUUUUGUUUGUUUGUUUGUUUUUAAUCUCAAACCAUAAUAUAGUUUUCAUGGUUUUCUACAACAAUGGUAUAGAAAGAUAUGAAGAAAAAUGAAUAUCCCCACAGCUAGAUCAUUUUAUGAGCAAUUUACAAUUUAAAACUUAAGAAAUCAAGAUUUCAAAUUUGUCAGGAGCUUGUUAAAAUUCACAACAGAAAAAAAUAAGUACUUGUCACCCAAAAUAAUUUAAUUAAAUAAUUAAAUAAUGAUUUAGGUAUCACUUAAAAUUUAUAAUUAAAAACUAAAAGUGGGGUGGCUGGGUGGCUCAGAUAGUUGUGUCCAACUCUUGAUGUCAGCUGAGGUCAUGAUCUCAGGGUUGUGAGAUCCAGCCCCUUGUUGGGCAUGGAAUCUGCUUAAGAUUUCUUGUCUAUUUCUGCCCCUCUCCCAACCUCUCUCUCCUUCUCUCUCUAAAAAAAAAAAAAAGGAAAACUAAAAAGCAAUAGAACGUUGACAAAAAUGUUAAAUCUGCAAAUUAAAAAAAUAUUUGUUCCAUCAAUUGCAGAUGAGUGUGCUAAAUAACAAAAAUUCAAAGCAAUAAAUUUUAAAGAUGUAAUUGGCUUUAACUAAUC